ACUUCAGCAAACACCGAAGAGUUUGAGAUUUUCUCCCCUGGCAGGUAUUUUGGCAGGACUAAAUUAUUGCUGAAGUCAGUCUGGAGGUCCAUCCCCAAACUCUUGGGGUAUCUACUCUCACUUAUUUUGAGCAAGAAGAGAAAUACUGCCACACACUUAAAGGACAGGAGAUCAACCACAAGCCUGAAGUUUUCUCACAAUGAAGGGAUUGAGUGAAUCUGAGAACACAAGCCACUGGGGCUGAUGGAACCAGAGCUGAGAGGAUUGGGUACCUUGGUCCAGGUUAACCUCAAGGGGCUAAUGAAGACUCCAAGAAGCCACUGCCAAGCAAGUUUUCUUCUAAGAGCAGAUGCUCUAAAGAGGUUGGAGAAGUGGAAGGGGCUGUGGUAAGUAGCUCCAGGAAGGAUCCGGAAGUAGAGGAGAAGAGACUCAGCUGGGAUCCUUUUGAUCCUCACCUUUUUGACCCUCACCACAGUUGGACAAGCCUACAUCCAAAAGUUCUGGACAUUUGUCAGGGAGUGUCGACAGGGGGUGAGGGGCAAAGACUCCUCCAGUCUCCAGGAUGAAAACUGAACCAAUGAGGAAUAUCCCUGAGUCAG
rnacentral:lncRNA from 1 species